CUGCUGCCUCCCGUAGGAGUUUGGACCGUGUCUCAGUUCCAAUGUGGGGGACCUUCCUCUCAGAACCCCUAUCCAUCGUCGUCUUGGUGGGCCGUUACCCCGCCAACUAACUAAUGGAACGCAUCCCCAUCGAUAACCGAAAUUCUUUAAUAUCAAGAUCAUGCGACCUUGAUAUCCUAUCGGAUAUUAAUCUUUCUUUCGAAAGGCUAUCCCCGAGUUAUCGGCAGGUUGGAUACGUGUUACUCACCCGUGCGCCGGUCGCCAUCGGAAG
rnacentral:rRNA from 1 species